rnacentral:rRNA from 1 species
CUAUACAUGCAAGUCGAGCGAACAGACGAGGAGCUUGCUCCUCUGACGUUGCGGCGGACGGGUGAGUAACACGUGGAUAACCUACCUAUAAGACUGGGAUAACUUCGGGAAACCGGAGCUAAUACCGGAUAAUAUAUUGAACCGCAGGGUUCAAUAGUGAAAGACGGUUUUGCUGUCACUUAUAGAUGGAUCCGCGCCGCAAUAGCUAGUUGGUAAGGUAACGGCUUACCAGGGCCACGAUGCGUAGCCCACCUGAGAGGGUGAUCGGCCACACUGGAACUGAGACACGGUCCAGACUCCUACGGGAGGCAGCAGUAGGGAAUCUUCCGCAGUGGGCGAAAGCCUGACAGAGCAACGCCGCGUGAGUGAUGAAGGUCUUCGGAUCGUAAAACUCUGUUAUUAGGGAAGAACAAAUGUGUAAGUAACUAUGCACGUCUUGACGGUACCUAAUCAGAAAGCCACGGCUAACUACGUGCCAGCAGCCGCGGUAAUACGUAGGUGGCAAGCGUUAUCCGGAAUUAUGGGGCGUAAAGCGCGCGUAGGCGGUUUUUUAAGUCUGAUGUGAAAGCCCACGGCUCACCCGUGGAGGGUCAUUGGAAACUGGAAAACUUGAGUGCAGAAGAGGAAAGUGGAAUUCCAUGUGUAGCGUUGAAAUGCGCAGAGAUAUGGAGGAACACCAGUGGCGAAGGCAACUUUCUGGUCUGUAACUGACGCUUAAUGUGCGAAAGCGUGGGGAUCAAACAGGAUUAGAUACCCUGGUAGUCCACGCCAUACACAAUGAGUGCUAAGUGUUAGGGGGUUUCCGCCCCUUAGUGCUGCAGCUAACGCAUUAAGCACUCCGCCCGGGGAGUACGACCGCAGGGUUGAAACUCAGAGGAAUUGACGGGCACCCGCACAAGCUGUGGAGCAUGUGGUUUAAUUCGAAGCAACGCGGAGAAACUUACCAAAUCUUGACAUCCUCUGACCCCUCUGGAGAUAGAGUUUUCCCCUUCGGGGGACAGAGAGAAAGGUGUUGCAGGGUGUUCUCCCCUCCGGCCCGGGAAAUUUGGGUUAA